rnacentral:rRNA from 1 species
AUUGAACGCUGGCGGCAUGCCUUACACAUGCAAGUCGAACGGCAGCGGACCUUCGGGUGCCGGCGAGUGGCGAACGGGUGAGUAAUAUAUCGGAACGUACCUUUCAGUGGGGGAUAACGUAGCGAAAGUUACGCUAAUACCGCAUAUUCUGUGAGCAGGAAAGCAGGGGAUCGCAAGACCUUGCGCUGAUUGAGCGGCCGAUAUCAGAUUAGCUAGUUGGUGAGGUAAAGGCUCACCAAGGCGACGAUCUGUAGCGGGUCUGAGAGGAUGAUCCGCCACACUGGAACUGAGACACGGUCCAGACUCCUACGGGAGGCAGCAGUGGGGAAUUUUGGACAAUGGGCGCAAGCCUGAUCCAGCAAUGCCGCGUGCAGGACGAAGGCC